rnacentral:rRNA from 1 species
UAAUUGAAGAGUUUGAUCAUGGCUCAGAUUGAACGCUGGCGGCAGGCCUAACACAUGCAAGUCGAACGGAAACAUGUCUAGCUUGCUAGAUGAUGUCGAGUGGCGGACGGGUGAGUAAUGCCUGGGAAUUUGCCUUUGCGAGGGGGAUAACUAUUGGAAACGAUAGCUAAUACCGCAUAAUGCCUACGGGCCAAAGGGGGGACUUGUUCCUCCCGCGCAAAGAGAAGCCCAGGUGAGAUUAGCUAGUUGGUGAGGUAAAGGCUCACCAAGGCGACGAUCUCUAGCUGUUCUGAGAGGAAGAUCAGCCACACUGGAACUGAGACACGGUCCAGACUCCUACGGGAGGCAGCAGUGGGGAAUAUUGCACAAUGGGGGAAACCCUGAUGCAGCCAUGCCGCGUGUGUGAAGAAGGCCUUCGGGUUGUAAAGCACUUUCAGUUGUGAGGAAAGGUUGUUGGUUAAUACCCAACAGCUGUGACGUUAGCAACAGAAGAAGCACCGGCUAACUCCGUGCCAGCAGCCGCGGUAAUACGGAGGGUGCAAGCGUUAAUCGGAAUUACUGGGCGUAAAGCGCACGCAGGCGGUUUGUUAAGCUA